AAUAAGGGACUUAUUAGUUUAUUUUAAAAAAAAUAUUUUUUGUAUUAGUAUUGUUAAUGAAUUUAGUUGUAUAAUGAUAGUGAAUUAGUAUAGUGAUAGAAUUAUUAAAUAUACUGAAAUUUAGUUAUGUAAAAGAAGAAUUAAUUUUUUGUACCUUGUGUAUCAGGGUUUAUUAAAAAAUUAAUAUGUAUUAUACUUAUCUCGAAUUAGAAAGAGCUAAAACAUUAUAUAUUUAAUUGUAGCAUAAAUUUUUAUAAUAUUGUUUUAGUAAUGAAAUGUUAUUCGUUUUUUAAUAUAUCUAGUUUUUUAAUAAAUGAAUUUAAUUCAGCUUUUAGAUUAUAAUAUAUUACAUUUAUAAUAUGUUGUAUUUAAGAAGUAAUAUUUUAAGGGAUAAGCUUUAAAAUAAAGACUUAUAAUAUUUAUUGUGAAUAUAAAGUAUGUAGGAUUGGAAAUGUUUAUCUUUAGUUUGUUAUAAUUAACUUUAUAUUUAAUAAGAUUUAUAUUGGAGUUUAGGUAGUUUAUUAAAAUAAUUUAUGUAAUUGGGAAUUAUAUGUAAUAAUGGUAAAAUUAGUAUAAUUGUAUGUUUAUUGUAAUUGAAAAAUAAAGGUUAAGUUAAGGAACUCGGCAAAUAUACUUUUCGCCUGUUUAUUAAAAACAUGUCUUUUUGAUUAUAAUUUAAAGUCUGACCUGCCCAAUGAGGAGUUAAAUGGCCGCGGUAACCUGACCGUGCAAAGGUAGCAUAAUCAUUAGUUUUUUAAUUGAAAGCUGGUAUGAAUGGUUGGACGAGGGAGUAACUGUCUCAAUUUAAUUUAAUUAGAAUUUUAUUUUUAAGUCAAAAAGCUUAAAUGAAUUUAAAAGACGAGAAGACCCUAUAGAGUUUUAUAUUUAUUAUAAUAAGUGUAUUUUAGUAUAAAUUAUAUGUUUAUUGUAAUAAGUAUUUUGUUGGGGUGACUGAAAAAUUGGAGUAACUUUUUUUAACUUGUAUCAUUAAUUUAUGAGUAAGUGAUCCGCUGUAAGAGCGAUUAGAAGAUUAAAUUACCUUAGGGAUAACAGCGUAAUUUUUUUUGAGAGUUCAAAUCGAAAAAAGAGUUUGCGACCUCGAUGUUGGAUUAAAAUUUACUUUUGGUGUAGAAGCUAAAAAGUUGGGUCUGUUCGACCUUUAAAAUUUUACAUGAUCUGAGUUUAAACCGGCGUGAGCCAGGUUGGUUUCUAUCUUUAAAAUAAAAAAAUAUUUUAGUACGAAAGGACCAAGUAUUUGUAAUAUUUAUUAUAAAUUGAAUAUUAA
rnacentral:rRNA from 1 species